AUGACUAUUGUUAUUAUUACUGAAUGAUUGACUUAUUCAACAAAUGAAGAAAAAGACCCAAACAUGGUCCAAUGAUGACUGCUUGUGGAAUAAUGUAUGCACUGAACCAACUUGAACAUUGUGCUGUGAUCCAUGUUAGAUCAGGCGUGGAUACACACACCCCUGAGCUUCAGUUGCCCUUGUAUGCAGAAACGUGGAGACCGAUAUGAGUCAUGCCAAGGUCCUUGCUUUUGCUGAUUUGUUUAGGGAAUCACAGACUAUUGUCUUCACAAGUAGUAUUAAAAAUAAUCUAAUUAGGCCAAUCAAGGCCCAGUGAUAAAUACGAAUUUGACAUGAGACGUUAUAAACAUUAGUCAGUUUUUUUGAGUCUACUUUUCUUCCCUUUUUUAUUGGUAUAUGUUUACAUCAUAAAGACAUUUAUGGAUGGGAAUUGGUUAAUAUACAUAACAGUUCUUGAUCCUUUUUGCUUCCCUUUCCCAUCCCUUUUUUACUACCCUUCCCUCCCUACUGCCUCCCUCUUCCCCUUCCUAUCACCACAAAGUGCAUCUCCCUGUUUCCUAUCUUUUGUUUUGCUCUUAAAUUAUUUAUACUUUGGAUUUCUCAUGUAAGAGAAAUGAAUUGUUAUAACAAUGAGAAUGGCUAGUAAAAGGGGUAUAUGUGUAUUCAGUGACACAAUUGUUCUGUAGAUGAAUACUUUGGGAUCUUUCUUUUCCUUAAGAUUGUAUGGCUCAUGGUAAUUAUUAUUCAAUACACGAGUGUAG